rnacentral:rRNA from 1 species
AGGUAGCAUAAUAAAUAGUCUCUUAAUUGGAGUCUGGAAUGAAUGGUCGGACAUGAAGUAAGCUGUUUUAUUUUUUAUGUUUGAAUUUUACUUUUAAGUGAAAAGGCUUAAAUUAUAUGGUGGGACGAUAACACCCUAUAAAG